UGGGGUGUGGCUCAGUGAUAGAGCACUUGCCUAGCACGUGUGAGGCACUGGGUUUGAUUCUCAGCAACACAC
rnacentral:tRNA from 1 species